rnacentral:rRNA from 1 species
UACGUAGGGUGCGAGCGUUGUCCGGAAUUAUUGGGCGUAAAGAGCUCGUAGGCGGUGUGUCGCGUCGGCCGUGAAAACCUGGGGCUCAACUCUGGGCGUGCGGUCGAUACGGGCAUCACUUGAGUUCGGCAGGGGAGACUGGAAUUCCUGGUGUAGCGGUGAAAUGCGCAGAUAUCAGGAGGAACACCAGUGGCGAAGGCGGCUCACUGGCCCGGUACUGACGCUGAGGUGACGGAAAGCGUGGGGGAGCAAACAGG